CAUAAAUUUUGGAUGGAGAACAUGUUUAAUCUCUUUGGCCUCGAAAUUAACAUGGUGGCCUUUCUCCUUGCCUCCUUUGCUUUGUUGAAUGCCAUUUCUAUGCUAUAUAUUGCACUUCUCGCUGCCUGCAUACUUCUAAAUUGCAAUGUCAUUCGGAAAUUAUGUCCAGCAGCACACCAUCUGCCAAUUCACAAACAUCAAGCAAGGCUGAGUCUGUAUUUCCUUUCGAAUUUUAUGAUUCUCCUGCCGGUAUCAAUGCUGAAAGUCUUCAUGUGAUGAAUUCAGCUGAUCAUUCAUUUGAGUUUUCCCAUUGCGAGAUCACAGAGGCUGAGAAGGAUGGUGGAGAUUCUUUAUAUGAUUCAGAUAAGAAAGAGAGAGCCAGAGGUCAAGCUGAGGAUAACUCUAUAGUUUCUGCUGUGCAGCUUUUAGGAGAUGACGGUUAGUUCUCUUGUAACCUUCCCGAACAUCAAGCCAGAAGACAUGGAUGCCAGGGGCACAAUCAAGCAGUCUCCCCUGCACCCGAUCAACGGCCAGGAUCACCUGACGAAGCAGCAGAAGUUCGCCAGAUCGAAGCUCCGGGUCUCCAUCAACCUGCCGGACAACGAAAUCUCCCUCCUCCGCAGCUGGUGGAACCUGAGCUUCGGCAGAACGUCCGCCGCCGCCGAACCUCCGACUUCUCCUUCUCCAUCUCCCCACUCCUCGUCCUUGGCCUCAGCGUCGAUCGAUCGAAUCUUCAAAGGGAAGGCUCUGGCAACGGCGAGGGGGAGCCUCGAGAACGGCGGGGUCAGUGGCGGCGACCCCCAGGGCGGCUGGCAGGCGUACAGGAGCGCGAGGACGGUGGUGGAGGUGCUGCGGGAGCUGGACGCGGACAUAGUGGCGCUGCAGGACGUGAAGGCGUAGGAGGAGAGGGAGAUGAAGCCGCUAUCGGAGCUGGCGGCGGCGCUGGGGAUGAGCUACGCGUUCGCCGAGAGCCGGGCGCCGGAGUACGGCAACGCCGUCCUCUCCCGAUGGCCGAUCAAGCACUGGAAGGUCCAGAAGAUAUUCGACGACACCGAUUUCAGGAAUGUUCUGAAGGCAACAAUAGAAGUGCCCCAUGUUGGGGAAGUGAACUUCCAGUGCACCCACCUGGAUCAUCUCGACGAGAACGGCGGAUGAAGCAAGUCGGCGCCAUCAUCCGGUCGAGCGACUCUCCCCACAUCUUGGCUGGUGGCCUCAACUCUCUUGACGAGACUGAUUACUCGCAAGAGCGGUGGACCGACAUCGUCAAGUACUCUGAAGAGAUAGGAAAACCGACCCCAAAGGUUGAAGUCAUGAGGUUUCUGAAGAGCAAGCAGUACACAGAUGCUAAGGACUUUGCCGGAGAAUGCGAGUCCGUGGUCGUCAUUGCCAAAGGACAAAGCGUGCAAGGGACAUGCAAAUACGGAACAAGGGUGGACUACAUAUUGGCGUCACCAGAUUACCCAUACGAGUUCGUUCCAGGGUCGUAUUCAGUCCCGUCAUCAAAAGGGACAUCAGAUCACCACAUUGUAAAGGUCGACGUAACGAAAUGCAAAAACAACCCUCCCCAUGAAGGCAAUGGCAACGACAAUAAAAUUACCAAGAAAAGGUGACCACAGCGUAAGCA